rnacentral:rRNA from 1 species
GAUGAACGCUGGCGGCGUGCCUAAUACAUGCAAGUCGAGCGAACGGACGAGAAGCUUUCUUCUCUUAUGUUAGCGGCGGACGGGUGAGUAACACGUGUCUAACCUACCUAUAAGACUGGGAUAACUUCGGGAAACCGGAGCUAAUACCGGAUAAUAUUUUGAACCGCAUGGUUCAAAAGUGAAAGACGGUCUUGCUGUCACUUAUAGAUGGAUCCGCGCUGCAUUAGCUAGUUGGUAAGGUAACGGCUUACCAAGGCAACGAUGCAUAGCCGACCUGAGAGGGUGAUCGGCCACACUGGAACUGAGACACGGUCCAGACUCCUACGGGAGGCAGCAGUAGGGAAUCUUCCGCAAUGGGCGAAAGCCUGACGGAGCAACGCCGCGUGAGUGAUGAAGGUCUUCGGAUCGUAAAGCUCUGUUAGUAGGGAAGAACAUAUGUGUAAGUAACUGUGCACAUCUUGACGGUACCUAAUCAGAAAGCCACGGCUAACUACGUG